rnacentral:rRNA from 1 species
UACAGAGGGCAGCUACCCAGCGAUGGGAUGCGAAUCUCGAAAGCCUGUCUCAGUUCGGAUUGGAGGCUGAAACCCGCCUCCAUGAAGUUGGAUUCGCUAGUAAUCGCGCAUCAGCCAUGGCGCGGUGAAUACGUUCCCGGGCCUUGUACACACCGCCCGUCAAGCCAUGGAAGCUGGGGGUGCCUGAAGUUCGUGACCGGAAGGAGCGACCUAGGGCAAAACCGGUGACUGGGGCUAAGUCGUAACAAGGUAGC